AUACGUAGGGUGCGAGCGUUGUCCGGAAUUACUGGGCGUAAGGAGCUCGUAGGUGGUUUGUCGCGUCGUCUGUGAAAUUCCGGGGCUUAACUCCGGGCGUGCAGGCGAUACGGGCAUAACUUGAGUACUGUAGGGGAGACUGGAAUUCCUGGUGUAGCGGUGAAAUGCGCAGAUAUCAGGAGGAACACCGGUGGCGAAGGCGGGUCUCUGGGCAUUAACUGACGCUGAGGAGCGAAAGCAUGGGUAGCGAACAGGAUUAGAUACCCUGGUAGUCCAUGCCGUAAACGGUGGGCGCUAGGUGUAGGGGUCUUCCACGACUUCUGUGCCGUAGCUAACGCAUUAAGCGCCCCGCCUGGGGAGUACGGCCGCAAGGCUAAAACUCAAAGGAAUUGACGGGG
rnacentral:rRNA from 1 species